UACGGAGGGUGCGAGCGUUGUCCGGAAUCCCUGGGCGUAAAGGGCGCGUAGGUGGCGCGGUUAGUCAUCGGUGAAAGCUCAGGGCUCAACCCUGAGUCGGCCGGUGAUACUCCCGUGCUUGAGUGUGGUAGAGGCCACUGGAAUUCCGGGUGUAGCGGUGGAAUGCGUAGAGAUCCGGAAGAACACCGGUGGCGAAGGCGGUUGGCUGGGCCACAACUGACACUGAUGCGCGACAGCGUGGGGAGCAAACAGG
rnacentral:rRNA from 1 species